rnacentral:rRNA from 1 species
CCUACGGGGGGCAGCAGUGAGGAAUAUUGGUCAAUGGACGGAAGUCUGAACCAGCCAUGCCGCGUGCAGGAUGACGGCUCUAUGAGUUGUAAACUGCUUUUGUAUUAGGGUAAACACCCCUACGUGUAGGGGCUUGAAAGUAUAAUACGAAUAAGGAUCGGCUAACUCCGUGCCAGCAGCCGCGGUAAUACGGAGGAUGCGAGCGUUAUCCGGAUUCAUUGGGUUUAAAGGGUGCGCAGGCGGGCCUUUAAGCCGGCGGUGAAAUCGCGGGGCUCAACCCCGCCGAGCCGUCGGAACUGGGGGCCUUGAGUGCGGCGGAGGCAUGCGGAAUGCGCGGUGUAGCGGUGAAAUGCAUAGAUAUCGCGCAGAACCCCGAUUGCGAAGGCAGCGUGCCGUGCCGCCACUGACGCUGAGGCACGAAAGCGCGGGGAUCGAACAGGAUUAGAUACCCCUGUAGUC